GAAGUCGGAAUCGCUAGUAAUCGCGUAACAGCAUGACGCGGUGAAUACGUUCCCGGGCCUUGUACACACCGCCCGUCACACCAUGGGAGUUGGGUUGACCCGAAGACGGUGCGCCGACCUGGCAACAGGGGGCAGCCGGCCACGGUCAGUUCAGCGACUGGGGUGAAGUCGUAACAAGGUAGCCGUAGGGGAACCUGCGGCUGGAUCACCUCCUUUCUAGG
rnacentral:rRNA from 1 species